GCAUCAAUGCUGGAUGUCAUAGUAAAUCUAUGGGGCCUAUCACAGCCAGCUUUGAUGAGCC
rnacentral:pre_miRNA from 1 species